rnacentral:lncRNA from 1 species
AUACAUAAGAAAUGUGUUUUGUGAACAAAAACAACUUAGUGCAUGUUUUAGAAGAAGUUAUGCAGAAACUGCUGUGGUAAUCGUUUACCACAGUGUCGUAAACGAUUACCAGAGCUGUUUUCGUGAUUUGGACACAAAGUUGUUCACAGAGAACCCAUAUUUUGUUCACAGGGGACCACAAUAUUAGUUGCUGUUUUUUCUGAAGUUUUGGACCUGUUUUGGUGUCAUGUAGUGGUUGGGAGGUGUUGUAAGUGUGCUUGUUCAUGUUUGGGUAGGCAAGGAAGGUAUGAUGUUGAGUGCAAGCCCCCAAAUCAUGUCCUAGAAGAAUUUAUGCAGAAACAGCUGUGGUAAUCGUUUACCACAGUGUCGUAAACGAUUACCAGAGCUGUU